rnacentral:tRNA from 1 species
AAUCUGGUAGCUUAAGGUUUCUGUAAUUAGAGUGUAGUUUUGAAGAAACUAAGGUGAGAGAAGUCUUCCUAGAUUG